UACGGAGGGUGCAAGCGUUAUCCGGAUUCACUGGGCUUAAAGGGUGCGUAGGAGGGCAGGUAAGUCAGUGGUGAAAUCCCCGAGCUUAACUUGGGAACUGCCGUUGAUACUAUCUGUCUUGGAUGUUGUGGAGGUAAGCGGAAUAUGUCAUGUAGCGGUGAAAUGCUUAGAUAUGACAUAGAACACCAAUUGCGAAGGCAGCUUGCUACACAAUUAUUGACUCUGAUGCACGAGAGCGUGGGGAUCAAACAGG
rnacentral:rRNA from 1 species